AUUGAACGCUGGCGGCAUGCUUUACACAUGCAAGUCGAACGGCAGCGCGGGCUUCGGCCUGGCGGCGAGUGGCGAACGGGUGAGUAAUACAUCGGAACGUGCCCAGUAGUGGGGGAUAGCUCGGCGAAAGCCGGAUUAAUACCGCAUACGACCUGAGGGUGAAAGCGGGGGAUCUUCGGACCUCGCGCUAUUGUAGCGGCCGAUGGCAGAUUAGCUAGUUGGUGGGGUAAAGGCCUACCAAGGCGACGAUCUGUAGCUGGUCUGAGAGGACGACCAGCCACACGGGGACUGGAACACGGCCCAGACUCCUACGGGAGGCAGCAGUGGGGAAUUUUGGACAAUGGGCGAAAGCCUGGUCCAGCAAUGCCGCGUGUGUGAUGAAGGCCUUCGGGUUGUAAAGCACUUUUGGCGGGAACGAAAAGGACUGUGCCAAUACCACGGUUCGAUGACGGUACCCGCAGAAUAAGCACCGGCUAACUACGUG
rnacentral:rRNA from 1 species